GACGAACGCUGGCGGCGUGCUUAACACAUGCAAGUCGAACGGAAAGGCCCUGCUUUUGUGGGGUGCUCGAGUGGCGAACGGGUGAGUAACACGUGAGUAACCUGCCCUUGACUUUGGGAUAACUUCAGGAAACUGGGGCUAAUACCGGAUAGGAGCUCCUGCUGCAUGGUGGGGGUUGGAAAGUUUCGGCGGUUGGGGAUGGACUUGCGGCUUAUCAGCUUGUUGGUGGGGUAGUGGCUUACCAAGGCUUUGACGGGUAGCCGGCCUGAGAGGGUGACCGGCCACAUUGGGACUGAGGUACGGCCCAGACUCCUACGGGAGGCAGCAGUGGGGAAUAUUGCACAAUGGGCGGAAGCCUGAUGCAGCAACGCCGCGUGCGGGAUGACGGCCUUCGGGUUGUAAACCGCUUUCGCCUGUGACGAAGCGUGAGUGACGGUAAUGGGUAAAGAAGCACCGGCUAACUACGUG
rnacentral:rRNA from 1 species